rnacentral:rRNA from 1 species
AUUGAACGCUGGCGGCAGGCUUAACACAUGCAAGUCGAGCGGUAACAGGGGGAGCUUGCUCCCUGCUGACGAGCGGCGGACGGGUGAGUAAUGCAUAGGAAUCUGCCCGGUAGUUGGGGAUAGCCCGGGGAAACCCGGAUUAAUACCGAAUACGCCCUACGGGGGAAAGCAGGGGAUCUUCGGACCUUGCGCUAUCGGAUGAGCCUAUGUCGGAUUAGCUGGUUGGUGGGGUAACGGCCUACCAAGGCGACGAUCCGUAGCUGGUCUGAGAGGAUGAUCAGCCACAUCGGGACUGAGACACGGCCCGAACUCCUACGGGAGGCAGCAGUGGGGAAUAUUGGACAAUGGGGGCAACCCUGAUCCAGCCAUGCCGCGUGUGUGAAGAAGGCUUUCGGGUUGUAAAGCACUUUCAGUAAGGAGGAAAACCUUACGGUUAAUAACCGUGAGGCUUGACGUUACUUACAGAAGAAGCACCGGCUAACUCCGUGCCAGCAGCCGCGGUAAUACGGAGGGUGCAAGCGUUAAUCGGAAUUACUGGGCGUAAAGCGCGCGUAGGUGGUUCGAUAAGCGGGAUGUGAAAGCCCCGGGCUUAACCU